GAUGAACGCUGGCGGCGUGCCUAAUACAUGCAAGUAGAACGCUGAAGCUUGGUGCUUGCACCGAGCGGAUGAGUUGCGAACGGGUGAGUAACGCGUAGGUAACCUGCCUCUUAGCGGGGGAUAACUAUUGGAAACGAUAGCUAAUACCGCAUAAAAGACGAUAUCGCAUGAUAUUGAUUUGAAAGGUGCAAAUGCAUCACUAAGAGAUGGACCUGCGUUGUAUUAGCUAGUUGGUGAGGUAACGGCUCACCAAGGCAACGAUACAUAGCCGACCUGAGAGGGUGAUCGGCCACACUGGGACUGAGACACGGCCCAGACUCCUACGGGAGGCAGCAGUAGGGAAUCUUCGGCAAUGGGGGCAACCCUGACCGAGCAACGCCGCGUGAGUGAAGAAGGUUUUCGGACCGUAAAGCUCAGUUGUAAGAGAAGAACGAGUGUGAGAGUGGAAAGUUCACACUGUGACGGUAACUACCA
rnacentral:rRNA from 1 species